rnacentral:rRNA from 1 species
UACGUAGGGUGCGAGCGUUAAUCGGAAUUACUGGGCGUAAAGCGUGCGCAGGCGGUUGUGCAAGACAGAUGUGAAAUCCCCGGGCUCAACCUGGGAAUUGCAUUUGUGACUGUACGGCUAGAGUGUGUCAGAGGGGGGUAGAAUUCCACGUGUAGCAGUGAAAUGCGUAGAGAUGUGGAGGAAUACCGAUGGCGAAGGCAGCCCCCUGGGAUAACAC